rnacentral:rRNA from 1 species
GAAUGCUGACAUAAGUAACGAUAAAGCGGGUGAAAAGCCCGCUCGCCGGAAGACCAAGGGUUCCUGUCCAACGUUAAUCGGGGCAGGGUGAGUCGACCCCUAAGGCGAGGCCGAAAGGCGUAGUCGAUGGGAAACAGGUUAAUAUUCCUGUACUUGGUGUUACUGCGAAGGGGGGACGGAGAAGGCUAUGUUGGCCGGGCGACGGUUGUCCCGGUUUAAGCGUGUAGGCUGGUUUUCCAGGCAAAUCCGGAAAAUCAAGGCUGAGGCGUGAUGACGAGGCACUACGGUGCUGAAGCAACAAAUGCCCUGCUUCCAGGAAAAGCCUCUAAGCAUCAGGUAACAUCAAAUCGUACCCCAAACCGACACAGGUGGUCAGGUAGAGAAUACCAAGGCGCUUGAGAGAACUCGGGUGAAGGAACUAGGCAAAAUGGUGCCGUAACUUCGGGAGAAGGCACGCUGAUAUGUAGGUGAAGCGACUUGCUCGUGGAGCUGAAAUCAGUCGAAGAUACCAGCUGGCUGCAACUGUUUAUUAAAAACACAGCACUGUGCAAACACGAAAGUGGACGUAUACGGUGUGACGCCUGCCCGGUGCCGGAAGGUUAAUUGAUGGGGUUAGCGGUAACGCGAAGCUCUUGAUCGAAGCCCCGGUAAACGGCGG